UACGAAGGGGGCUAACGUUGUUCGGAUUUACUGGGCGUAAAGCGUACGUAGGCGGAUUAGAAAGUUAGGGGUGAAAUCCCGAGGCUCAACCUCGGAACUGCCUUUAAAACUUCUAGUCUAGAGAUCGGGAGAGGUGUAUGGAACUCCUAGUGUAGAGGUGGAAUUCGUAGAUAUUAGGAAGAACACCAGUGGCGAAGGCGAUACACUGGCCCGAUACUGACGCUGAGGUACGAAAGCGUGGGGAGCAAACAGG
rnacentral:rRNA from 1 species